rnacentral:tRNA from 9 species
GUUCCUAUCGUCUAGAGGCCUAGGACAUCGCCCUUUCACGGCGGUAACCGGGGUUCGAAUCCCCGUAGGAACGCCA